rnacentral:rRNA from 1 species
CCUACGGGUGGCAGCAGUGAGGAAUAUUGGUCAAUGGACGCAAGUCUGAACCAGCCAUGCCGCGUGCAGGAAGACGGCUCUAUGAGUUGUAAACUGCUUUUGUACGAGGGUAAACGCAGAUACGUGUAUCCGUCUGAACGUAUCGUACGAAUAAGGAUCGGCUAACUCCGUGCCAGCAGCCGCGGUAAUACGGAGGAUUCAAGCGUUAUCCGGAUUUAUUGGGUUUAAAGGGUGCGUAGGCGGUCGGGUAAGUUAGAGGUGAAAUCCCGGGGCUCAACUUCGGAAUUGCCUCUGAUACUGGUAGGCUAGAGAGUAGGUGCGGUAGGCGGAAUGCAUGGUGUAGCGGUGAAAUGCUUAGAGAUCAUACAGAACACCGAUUGCGAAGGCAGCUUACCAAGCUACAUCUGACGUUGAGGCACGAAAGCGUGGGGAGCAAACAGGAUUAGAUACCCGUGUAGUC